rnacentral:rRNA from 1 species
UGACCGCUGGCGGCAUGCCUUACACAUGCAAGUCGAACGGUAACAGGUUAAGCUGACGCGUGGCGAACGGGUGAGUAAUACAUCGGAACGUGCCCAGUAGUGGGGGAUAGCCCGGCGAAAGCCGGAUUAAUACCGCAUACGACCUAAGGGUGAAAGGGGGGGAUCGCAAGACCUCUCGCUAUUGGAGCGGCCGAUGUCAGAUUAGCUAGUUGGUGGGGUAAAAGCUCACCAAGGCGACGAUCUGUAGCUGGUCUGAGAGGACGACCAGCCACACUGGGACUGAGACACGGCCCAGACUCCUACGGGAGGCAGCAGUGGGGAAUUUUGGACAAUGGGCGCAAGCCUGAUCCAGCCAUGCCGCGUGCGGGAAGAAGGCCUUCGGGUUGUAAACCGCUUUUGUCAGGGAAGAAAUCCUUUGGGUUAAUACCUCGGGGGGAUGACGGUACCUGAAGAAUAAGCACCGGCUAACUACGUG